UCUCUCUGUCUCUCUCUCUCUCUCUGUCUCUCUCUGUCUCUCUCUGUCUCUCUCUCUCUGUCUCUCUGUCUCUCUCUCUCUCUGUCUCUCUCUCUCUCUCUCUGUCUCUCUCUCUCUCUGUCUCUCUCUCUCUGUCUCUCUCUCUCUCUCUCUCUCUCUCUCAGUAUCUUUCAGACCUGCUUCAGAACCACCAGCUCCCCGUGGUCUGCACCUGCACCACGGCCGACAUCCAGGCGGCCUUCAACACCAUCGUGUCCCGCAUACAGAGAUUCUGUAACUGUAACUCCCAGACGCCCAUCCCCAUAAAGAUCGCCGUGGCGGGAGCGCAUCACUACCUGAGCGCCGUGCUGCGUCUCUUUGUGGACCACCUGUCCCAUAAGACCCCGGACUGGCUCGGGUACAUGAGGUUCCUCAUCAUCCCUCUGGGUGUUCAUCCCGUCUCUAAAUAUCUCGGCUCCAUCGACUACCGCUACAACAGUCUGUUCCAGGACGCGGCGUGGAGAGAUCUGUUCCUCAAGCCCGAGGCGCCGGUUGUAGGUGAGCGCUUUAGAGUUAGGGCGCACUCACACGACCUGGACGUGAAGUAUAAUGAAGCCCCGCCUCCAUUCAGGAGAAACACACCA